rnacentral:rRNA from 1 species
GUGAGGAAUAUUGCUCAAUGGGCGAAAGCCUGAAGCAGCGACGCCGCGUGAGGGAUGAAAUCCGUUAGGAUGUAAACCUCUUUUGCAGGGGAUGAAUGUUCCGACUUGUCGGGAUUGACCGUACCCUGCGAAUAAGCACCGGCCAACUACGUGCCAGCAGCCGCGGUAAUACGUAGGGUGCAAGCGUUGUCCGGAAUUACUGGGUGUAAAGGGUCCGCAGGCGGGCAAGCAAGUCGGUGGUGAAAUCUCUUCGCUCAACGGAGAGACUGCCAUCGAUACUGUUUGUCUUGAGUUCGAGAGAGGAUGAUGGAAUUCAUGGUGUAGCGGUGAAAUGCGUAGAGAUCAUGAAGAACACCGGUAGCGAAGGCGGUCAUCUGGCUCGAUACUGACGCUCAGGGACGAAAGCGUGGGUAGCAAACAGGAUUAGAUACCCUAGUAGUCC